CCUACGGGAGGCAGCAGUGGGGAAUAUUGCACAAUGGGGGAAACCCUGAUGCAGCGACGCCGCGUGAGCGAUGAAGUAUUUCGGUAUGUAAAGCUCUAUCAGCAGGGAAGAAAAUGACGGUACCUGACUAAGAAGCCCCGGCUAACUACGUGCCAGCAGCCGCGGUAAUACGUAGGGGGCAAUAGUUAUCCGGAUUUACUGGGUGUAAAGGGAGCGUAGACGGCGGUGCAAGCCAGAUGUGAAAGUCUGGGGCUCAACCCCGGGACUGCAUUUGGAACUGGGCUGCUAGAGUGUCGGAGAGGCAGGCGGAAUUCAUAGGGUAGCGGUGAAAUGCGUAGAUAUUAGGAGGAACACCAGUGGCGAAGGCGGCCUGCUGGACGAUGACUGACGUUGAGGCUCGAAAGCGUGGGGAGCAAACAGGAUUAGAUACCCGUGUAGUC
rnacentral:rRNA from 1 species